CUUGACGACCAUAGAGCGUUGGAACCACCUGAUCCCAUCCCGAACUCAGUAGUGAAACGACGCAUCGCCGAUGGUAGUGUGGAGCUUCUCCAUGUGAGAGUAGGUCAUCGUCAAGA
rnacentral:rRNA from 5 species